rnacentral:rRNA from 2 species
GACGAACCGAGCGAACGUUGUUCGGAAUCACUGGGCUUAAAGGGCGCGUAGGCGGGUAUUCAAGUCCGUGGUGAAAUCCUCCGGCUCAACCGGAGAACUGCCUCGGAUACUGGAUGUCUCGAGGGUGGCAGGGGUAUGCGGAACUAUCGGUGGAGCGGUGAAAUGCGUUGAUAUCGAUAGGAACUCCGGUGGCGAAGGCGGCAUACUGGUCCACUUCUGACGCUGAGGCGCGAAAGCCAGGGGAGCAAACGGG